rnacentral:lncRNA from 8 species
AUGGAUGGCUUUCUCUCUCUCCCUUUCUCCCUCUUUCUUUCUAUAUCUCUCUUCAUCUAUGUUUUUAAUCUCUCUGGCUCUCCUCUCUCUUGUCUGUCCCUCUACCUCUCUAUUGCUUUCUCUACCUCUCUCUCUAUCGCUUUCUCUACCUCUCUCUAUCGUUUUCUCUACCUCUCUCUAUCGCUUUCUCUACCUCUCUAUCGCUUUCUCUACCUCUCUCUCUAUCGCUUUCUCUACCUCUCUCUAUCGUUUUCUCUACCUCUCUCUAUCGCUUUCUCUACCUCUCUAUCGUUUUCUCUACCUCUCUCUAUCGCUUUCUCUACCUCUCUCUAUCGUUCUCUACCUCUCUAUCGUGUUCUCUACCUCUCUAUCUUGUUCUCUACCUCUCUAUCUUGUUCUCUACCUCUCUAUCUUGUUCUCUACCUCUCUAUCACUUUCUCUACCUCUCUAUCGCUUUCUCUACCUCUCUAUCGCUUUCUCUACCUCUAUCGCUUUCUCUACCUCUCUAUCGCUUUCUCUACCUCUAUCGUGUUCUCUACCUCUCUAUCGUUUUCUCUACCUCUCUAUCGCUUUCUCUACCUCUCUCUAUCGUUUUCUCUACCUCUCUAUCGUGUUCUCUACCUCUCUAUCGUGUUCUCUACCUCUCUAUCUCGUUCUCUACCUCUCUCUAUCGUUUUCUCUACCUCUCUCUAUCGUGUUCUCUACCUCUCUAUCGUGUUCUCUACCUCUCUCUCGCUUUCUCUACCUCUAUCUUGUUCUCUACCUCUCUAUCUUGUUCUCUACCUCUCUAUUGUUUUCUCUACCUCUCUCUCUAUCGUUUUCUCUACCUCUCUAUAUCUUGUUCUCUACCUCUCUGUUUUCUCUACCUCUCUCUCUAUCGCUUUCUCUACCUCUCUCUCUAUCGCUUUCUCUACCUCUCUCUAUCGCUUUCUCUACCUCUCUCUAUCGUUUUCUCUACCUCUCUCUCUAUCGUUUUCUCUACCUCUCUCUCUAUCGCUUUCUCUACCUCUCUCUCUAUCGUUUUCUCUACCUCUCUCUCUAUCGUUUUCUCUACCUCUAUUGUUUUCUCUACCUCUCUAUCGUUUUCUCUACCUCUCUCUCUAUCGUUUUCUCUACCUCUCUCUCUAUCGUUUUCUCUACCUCUCUAUCGUUUUCUCUACCUCUCUAUCGUUUUCUCUACCUCUCUAUCGUUUUCUCUACCUCUCUAUCGUUUUCUCUACCUCUCUCUAUCGUUUUCUCUACCUCUCUAUCGUUUUCUCUACCUCUCUAUCGUGUUCUCUACCUCUAUCGUUUUCUCUACCUCUCUCUAUCGCUUUCUCUACCUCUCUCUCUAUCGUUUUCUCUACCUCUCUAUAUCUUGUUCUCUACCUCUCUGUUUUCUCUACCUCUCUCUCUAUCGCUUUCUCUACCUCUAUCGCUUUCUCUACCUCUCUCUAUCGUUUUCUCUACCUCUCUCUCUAUCGUGUUCUCUACCUCUCUCUAUCGUUUUCUCUACCUCUAUUGUUUUCUCUACCUCUCUAUCGUUUUCUCUACCUCUCUCUAUCGUUUUCUCUACCUCUCUCUAUCGUUUUCUCUACCUCUCUAUUGUUUUCUCUACCUCUCUAUCGUUUUCUCUACCUCUCUAUCGUUUUCUCUACCUCUCUCUAUCGUUUUCUCUACCUCUCUCUAUCGUUUUCUCUACCUCUCUAUCGUUUUCUCUACCUCUCUAUCGUUUUCUCUACCUCUCUAUCGUGUUUUCUACCUCUCUCUAUCGUUUUCUCUACCUCUCUAUCGUGUGCUCUACCUCUCUCUAUCGUUUUCUCUACCUCUCUAUCGUUUUCUCUACCUCUCUAUCGUGUUCUCUACCUCUCUCUAUCGUGUUCUCUACCUCUCUAUCGUGUUCUCUACCUCUCUAUCGUGUUCUCUACCUCUCUCUAUCGUUUUCUCUACCUCUCUAUCGCUUUCUCUACCUCUCUAUCGUGUUCUCUACCUCUCUAUCGUUUUCUCUACCUCUCUCUAUCGUUUUCUCUACCUCUCUAUCGCGUUCUCUACCUCUCUAUCGUUUUCUCUACCUCUCUCUAUCGUGUUCUCUACCUCUCUAUCGUGUUCUCUACCUCUCUCUACCGU